rnacentral:lncRNA from 1 species
AAAAAAAAAAAAAAAGUCGUAAUUUAUCUGUCUAGAAUGUCAAAAUAAUUAUACAAUUGAAAACCUGAAUAUGUUCCGAGAUAUUUUAACCUAAUAUUUUAAUUUCUCAUUUCAUUUAAUUAUGAAAAAUGAAAAUACAGUAUAUAAUAGCUAAGAAAUAAAAGAGUUCAUAAGAUUAACAUGUAAUCAAAGAUAGAAAAAAGUAAACUUCGAACAACUUCUAAAUAGCACAUGAAAAAAAUAAAAUAAAGUAACUUGCAUAAAUACAAUCAGGUUUACAAAAUUACCCAAAAAACAGAACCAGUACCAUCAAAAUGAAAUCACUUGCGUAUUCAUUAAGAUAUAAUCCAAAAAAUCAAGCAUCAAUAUUUAACUCCUAAUAAGAUAUGCAAAAUUAAAAGAUCUUGCUUCAACUUUCUACACAUCUCCAGAGUCUCCAUAAUCAGGAAUCACUAAGUAGUUAUGUGAGGGUGCUUGGGUGGUAGAAAAACACGGCAUCACCAAAUCUCGUUUUCUUCCUUUUGUAUCUACAAAAGCAUAGUUGUAUAUAAAUAUACUAUCAAAAACUAUUUUUCUAAUUUAUAGAAUUGAAGAUCUCACCUCUAACACCUGCAGCAGAUUGAUUUUUUUUACUUUGGGAUGCCGUAAAAGAUUGUGAAACUUGUGACGAUUUGUCAUACGAUGGUUGUUGCAAGAAAAUAAAGUCACUAGCACGUGAUGUAAAAUAAAAUUAAUCAAACAUAAUAAAUCAAUGAUGAAUCCUAGAGAAUUUUAGUAGCACGUAUUGCAUUAGCAUCAACAACUUUUGUAUUUGUGACCUGGAAAUUAUAUAGACCGUCGUUAAGGUAUUUAUAUUUGUAAACUAUUAAUACAAAAAUGUAAAAAAUAGUUUUACCUCGGCAGAAGGGAUGAACUGGUGCAUGUUUGACAUGUCAAUGCCAUUCCAAUUCCCAAUACCACAUAAAGGCCCAUUGUUCCACCUCCCUCUUCCUCUUUCAGUUCUUGCUUGAGUUCCUCUAGGUCUUCCUCUUCCUCUUGGAGCACUUGAACCACUAGACAUUGUUGGGUUUCGGGCACGCGUACGCAGCGGAAAACAAAAAUUUAAUGUGAUUUAAACGACUUUAAAGCACACAAGAACAUGCCCGACAAAUUAAAUCAAUUAAUUGCGUACCUUUGCGCUUCCAGCGAAAUUAAAACAACAACAUGCUUAAUUACUUAAUCGAAAUUAAAUCAAUUAGCAUGCUCGCUUUUAAAUCAAAUAAUCAUGCUCGCAAUAAUAAAACCAAUUUCAUGUAGUCACAUAAAAUCAUACAAGUUUCUUAUUAAAACGAACAUGCAUAUAUUAAUUUAAACGUAGCCGAAUCGAAUGACAAUAGAUUCGAAACAUUACCUCUUGAAGCGUGAGGUAGGCGCACUAAGCAAAGCUAGAUUUCCACGGAAACCAAUCCGUGCAAUCCGGGGCAGCAACUGCGAUGAGAAGAUGGCUAGCUGCUCUUCCCACUCCUAUUGAUCCAACCUGUUUGCUGAUCUGAAAUUACAGCCUUGCUCCGACUUCAGUAUCUCCAUGCGUAUUUACUGGAUGAACAAUUCCUUCUGGAAGAUGGUAGAUUUAUGAGUCGUGAAGCUGCUGUCAAAAUUUCACGUCCAUCGGAUGACCGGUUGAUUUAUGGCGAAAUUUCUCGCUGGGCAGCGCAGAAAAUCCGAGAGCAGUUUUUCGGAAUUGCCUUCUCGCAUCUUCGAUUCUUCGAUCUUCGUCCUCUUGGAUUUCACCUCGUAUACUUCGAUCUACUAAACACGUGGCACUAGACACGUAAUAGUCAGAAUAACGGAAGAAAAGAAAGAAGGAAAGGAAUACCGAAAGAGAUCGGCCAACGGGUGGCCGAUUCCGGCGAAUUUCCGGCGACGGCGCGGUGGUGGUGGCCGUGGGAGAGGGUGGCUGAUCGAGAGAGGCAACGGCUAGGGUUAUGAACGUGUGUUCUCUUAGUUAUGUGUGUGCAAGACCUAUAAAUCAAGUAUUUAUAUGUCUUGCAUAAAACCCUAACGGGCUUAAGUUGGACAGGGCCCAACAACUUAAGUUCGUUAGUUCUUUUACUUGCUCGUCUCUCUCAAUUCAAUGAUCGGAAAAUUGUAACGAUUACAUUUUCGGAAUCAUUAUAAUGUCCUCGUCAUUACGAGUGCCAACUCUCGAUUUCCAACUUUCCAAAAGUGGAAACCCUAAUUCAGUGCACUUUCUAAAUUUGGAAACUUCCCGAUUUAGAAAGUCCACUAAUACAUUUGCCUAUUCUUUUCCUUUUCUUAUUCUCAUUCAUAAUUCCAAAUUACGAAUGUUGGACCCAAUCAUAUUGACUUCCAAUCAUGCAAAGAUAAACCAUUUUAUCUCUGACCGUUUAUUCAAAGAUCUCAUGUGCACGAGCAGUGUGACCCUCGAUGGUUCAGGUGUAAGCUAGCCGUGGGCCCACAACCCUUUGUGGUCAAAACUCGUCCCCUUAGAGUUACGAUUAAGAUGAAACUCGUUUCACCUUAAUCACCCAACGAAUCAAGAUUGGCGUCUAGCAACUACGCGUCAUGAUUCCCUAGAUACAAAUGAAGUGCCUGCAAGAACCUUCAGAUAUAGUUAACGUACAGUACGGUCCCUUCGAUUCAUAUGUCCCGAUCGAACUAGAGGCAUUGGUUCAUCGAGACCUCUUUAUAUGUUCGAUGACGGUGCGAUCGUUCUAAGUGUUGUAAUCCUUACGUGCAUGACUUAGAGAAUCGAAUUCUCUAAUCAUCACUUAGUCAGCUCUGGCCAGAGACUUAGAAUGAUUACAAACUUUCAGAACACACAGGACAUCCAAGACUAUUCUAGCGAUCGAAUCCCCGACUACAAUGCACAGACCUCCCACUAGAUUUCGGACUGCACGAACACUGGCCCUUGGAAUGGUCCUCGGUGGAACUCAGGGACAGGUCACGAUACAGCUGGUCCUCUAGUGAAGUCACGGUGAUGUCUAGGUCAUAAGGACUAAUGGUGUACAACUAUAUCAUAGACAUCUCUACUCGAUUAUUGGGAACCACUUAGAGAUUUCUAGGGUGAGGGAGUUCAGUGAACUCGUCAACUUACGAGCACCCACUUAUGCAUGCCGAUAUCACAAUACCGUUUACUGAUGAGAUGCAGUACACAUACACUAAGUGCUAGUCUUAAUGGGAAAGGCCGAUAUCCUCAUUAGUGGCGUAACCCUUCGACUAGGAACAUGUUUAACAGUUAUAAUACUUAAGUAAAUAUCUCACGAUCCUAACGAUCAAUUACUAGUACUUGUAAUAACUGUAAGGACUAUAUCUAUGCUUGUGACAAAGGGACAAAGAUAUAGAAUGCCAAGGUGUUUUAUCAUUAAUACGAAUAAAAGUUCGUUUAUUACCAUAAUAAAUACGAAAGACCACAGCCAAAAGUUGGCUUGUUGGUCACCUACUCUAACAAUCUCCCACUUGACCUAAAGCCAACUACCCAUGAAUCGCAAUCCCAUCGACUCUCGAUGUUUCUCAUGGACCGAUCUCGGUAAAGGCUUCGUAAAGGGGUCUGCAACGUUCUCUUCCGAGGUGACUCGUUCUACUUUAACUUCACCUCUACCAAUGAUCUCUCGGAUCACAUGAUACUUUCUCAGAAUAUGCUUCGACUUCUGAUGAGAUCUCGGCUCCCUAGCUUGCGCCAAGGCUCCGGUGUUAUCACAGUACAACGGUACUGGAUCACUAGCACAAGGAACGACACCCAACUCUUGGAUGAACUUCCUUAUCCAAGUCCCAUCUUUUGCAGUUUCGGACGCUGCAAUGUAUUCCGAUUCGGUAGUGGAAUCAGCCGUUGUGCUUUGCUUGGAACUCUUCCAACACACGGCACCACCAUUAAGCGUGAAUAUAAAUCCAGAAUUCGACUUUGAGUCGUCCACAUCCGAUUGAAAACUAGAGUCAGUGAAACCCUCUAAUUUCAACUCGGCACCCCCAUAGACCAAAAAUAUAUCCUUAGUUCUUCGCAAGUACUUGAGGAUAUCUUUCACGGCUUUCCAGUGAGCCGGGCCGGGGUUAGACUGAUAUCUGCUUGUGACACUCACAGCAUACGCAAUAUCGGGUCUAGUACAUAGCAUGCCAUACAUUAUGCUUCCUAUGGCAGAAGCAUAGGGCGUUCUUUUCAUCUCCUCGAUUUCACUAGGUGUUUGGGGACACAUAGAUUUCGAGAGACGAACCCCAUGGGACAUUGGCAAGAAUCCCUUCUUGGAUUCUUCCAUGCUAAACCGUUUCAUAACGGUGUCUAUGUACAGGCUUUAGGAUAAGCCAAGCAUCUUUCUUGCUCUAUCUCUAUAGAUGCGUAUUCCCAAUACGUAAGAUGCUUCUCCCAAAUCCUUCAUUGAGAAACGUGUGGACAACCAUGCUUUCGUUUGCUGUAACAUUCCUACGUCAUUCCCAAUGAGUAGAAUGUCAUCAACGUAAAGCACUAGAAAUAUUACUGCCCUCCCACUAACCUUCUUGUAUACACAAGGUUCCUCCGGAUUCUUCUCAAAAUCAAACUCUUUGAUAGUUGAGUCGAACCUAAUGUUCCAACUACGGGAUGCUUGUUUCAAUCCAUAAAUGGAUCGCUGGAGCUUGCAAACCUUUUGCUCACUUCCAGAAGAUAUGAAGCCUUCCGGCUGCGCCAUGUAAAUUUCUUCCUCAAUGUCUCCAUUAAGGAAGGCGGUCUUCACAUCCAUUUGCCAUAUCUCGUAGUCGUACCACGCAGCUAUGGCCAGCAAAAUCCUAAUGGACUUCAGCAUCGCGACUGGCGAAAAGGUUUCCUCAUAGUCAACGCCUUGCCUUUGAGUGUAUCCUUUUGCUACCAAUCUAGCUUUAUAGGUCGAUACCUUUCCAUCAACUCCAAUUUUCUUCUUAUAGAUCCACUUGCAGCCUAUAGGAAUAAUUCCUUUGGGUGGAUCUACCAAGGUCCAUACCUUGUUGGAGUACAUGGAGUCCAUUUCGGAUUUCAUGGCAGUUAGCCAAUGUCCCAUGUCCGCAUCCGAUACGGCCUCAUUGUAUGUUCUUGGAUCUCGUCCAAGAUCAACAUGAUCUUCAUCAUUUUCGAGGAGGAAUAACCUAUCCGGCAUUUUCCGAACUCUUUCGGAUCUACGUACCGUAGGUUCAGGAGGUAUAUUAGUGGUUUGUUGUAUUGGUUCGAUUGCUUGUUCUUGUGUUUGAACUUCACUUUGUGGUUCUUGAACUACUUCAAGUUCUAUCAUGCUGCCCUUUCUAUCGGAUAGAAACUCCCUUUCCAAAAAGGUGGCAUUUCUCGAAACAAACGUCUUUGCUUCUUUGACAUAGUAGAACUCGUAUCCCAUUGAGUCUUCGGGAUACCCCACAAAAUAGCACAAGUCGGAUUUACUAUCCAACUUAUCUCCCACUAAUCGCUUCACAUAAGCGGGACAACCCCAUAUCCUAAUAUGUUUGUAAUUGGGUUUCCGGGAAUGCCAAAGUUCAUAAGGUGUGGAUUUAACUGCUUUGGUGUUAACUCUAUUCAGCAAAUACGCGGCAGUACGAAGUGCAUGACCCCACAAGUAUGCCGGUAAGUUUGUGAACCCCAUCAUUGAUCGAACCAUAUCUAAUAAAGUUCGAUUCCGACGUUCGGAUACUCCAUUAAGUUGAGGAGUUCCCGGUGGAGUCCAUUGGGACUGUAUCCCAUUUUCUUUUAGAUAGUCAAUGAACUCGAUGCUCAAGUAUUCUCCACCACGAUCGGAUCGCAGCUUCUUAAUACUUCGUCCGAGUUGCUUUUCUACUUCAUGUCUAAAAUCUUUGAACUUUUCAAAUGUUUCAGACUUGUACUUCAUCAAGUACACAUACCCAUACCUAGAAUAAUCGUCGGUAAAGGUGGCGAAGUAGUUGUAUCCACCCUUCGCACUAACACUUAGUGGACCACAUACGUCUGUAUGGAUCAAAUCCAAAAGACCCUCGGCUCGUUCCAUUUUCCCUUUGUAGGGUGACUUGGUCAUUUUCCCUUUAAGGCAAGAUUCACAAGUUUGUAGUGAUUUCACGUCCUCCAAAGAGAACAAUCCUUCACUAACAAAAUCGUUCAUCCUUCUUAAAGAGACAUGACCUAAUCUAGCGUGCCAAAGUUGUGCGGGGUUUUGAUCUAUCUCCUUACGUUUUGCUGAUAUAACAUUAAUAGGUAUUUCAUUUGGAUUUAGUUCAUACAAGUUGUUUAAUAGUCGUCCUUUGCAAAUUAAAUUCUCAUUCUUUUGUAUAAUGCAAAUCGAAUUUCCAAAAACAAAAGUAAAACCUUCAAUAUCUAAUACAGGAAUAGAAAUAAGGUUUCUAAUGAGCGACGGAACAAAUAAACAAUCGUUCAAAACAAUAGGAAAACUAGAAUCCAAAACAUUUAAGUAAAUAGUGCCAACGGCUUCAGCAGCAACUCUUGCUCCAUUCCCCAUCCUUAGGUAGGUCUCACCCGCUCUAAGUCUUCGACUUCUUGUCAUUAGCUGCAAAUCAUUGCACAAAUGUGAGCCACAGCCCGUAUCCAAUACCCAAGAAGAAGAGUUGACAGACAAAUUUACGUCAAUGAAAUACGUACCCUUUUCAGAACCUUUCUGCUUCAGGUAAGCCUUGCAGUUGCGGCGCCAAUGUCCUUUCUUUCCACAGUGAUGGCAAGCAUCAUCAACUUGUUUGCUAACCUUUGCUUUGGGGCCCCCACUACCUUCACCCACUUCGAACUUGCUGUUAGGGAAAAGAACUCUUUCCUUUCUCUUCUUUUGGAAAGAACUCUUCUUUCCAGAAGUAGCAGCAAUGAGAACAGACUUCUCUUUCUUAAUGGUGGACUCGAAGCUGACCAACAUGUUCAUUAACUCAUCCAAGGGAGGAUCUAGUUUGUUCAUGUUGAAGUUCACUAUGAACGAUUCAUAGGAACUAGGAAGAGACAACAGGAUCAAAUCCAACGAGAGCUCGGCCGGGAGGGUGACAUCAAGAUUCACUAGCUUUUCAAGGAGAGUGAUCAUUUUGAGACAGUGCUCGUGGACCGAAACCCCUUCGCGCAAUCUCGCUGUGAUCAACUCCUUUGUAGCAGCGUAUCUCGAUGCCCUAAUAUUCACACUAUACAUGCUAUCGAGAUGAGCCUUUAUAUCGAAAGCAUGCAAGUGAGACUCAUAUUUCCUCGCAAGCGCGGGCUCCAUGGCGGCUAUCAUAUAGCACCUAGCAUGAGUGUCAUCUUUCUUCCAAACUUCAUAAGUUUCCUUUUCAGCAUCAGUUGCUGUGGCAGGUAAAGUGGCGGGAAGCCUCUCGUUCAAAACGUAGAGACGCCCCUCAACAGUUAGCACAAGCUUAAGACUACGCAACCAAUCUAGGUAAUUAGGGCCAUUGAGUUUAUUGUCGAGGAUUGACAUUAUGGGAUUCUUAGACAUGAUUAUCUGAGACAUAUAGAGAAGAGGAUUAUUAGAGAUUCGCGUUAAAUGAUUGUUACAAUUAAAUGUUUGGACUUAUGUUAUUUAAUUGUUCUCCCACUAAUUUUAUCGAAUUCCACUUCCCUCUAGUAGACAAACGAGAAAACUGAUUUUUCUUAAUGGGCUUUAGGUCCAAUAGACAAAUAUAACCCGUAGUUAAUCUAGCCCGAUUAUAUUUGCCCAAAGGUAGAUCACAAUCAAUCAUAUCCACAAUAUGACCCUAAAUUAAUUUUCCUCACACUUGAUAAUGACCUAAGUUAAUCUCGCGAAUAUCAAAAUCGUCGUGUGUCAAGUCUAACCUACCAAUCAAAGAUGCUCAUAGAACUCGAUUAUGCCAAACUAAUGCAGUCCCUAGUUAAUCUAGCCGACCACGUUAAUUCAACAUAACCCUUUUCUAUGGCUACCUUCAUCGUUAUGUCAAUUGAAUUACAGCUUACUCUACCAUAGCACUCCCCGCUAACACGGCUUACUGCACUAUAGUAAAGGGCUACACAUAAUCCAACCGUUGGCAGAAGGAAAGAAAUAACUCAACAGAUUGGGUUUUUCUUUAUAGCUUGAAAUGAUUCUUAAUUAAAAGAAUGAGGGAUUUUAAUUAAAGUGUUUUAUCUCAUCAGAAGGUUUUGGAUUGGUCUAUGUGAUUCCUACAUCUAUGUUCUCUAAAGGUAUAUGGAAGCGCAUAUUGUCCUAAGAGGAACAUACGACCUAACUACAUAAUUAAUUACAUUAAUUAAUUAUCGGAUUUCCAAAAUAAUUAUAGAACCUCAACUAGCAUAAAUCAUUCAAAUAAUGUUGAGGUACUAUUAAUUAAGUUGAAGUAUAAUCAACAUUAUACGUGUGUUCUAUUAAUUGAAAUCAAUCUAACAAUUUAAAUUAAUUAAUUAAUCUAACACCUAUUUACUAAAAUAGAUGAUUGUCGAUCCAAUUAUCUAAUUGGGAUUAAUCGAAAAUAAUUUUCCAAAAAUUAAAAUCAAUUUGUUUUAAGUUUAAUUUUAGAAAUCUGAAAUAAAUUUUUUUUUUUUUUUUUUUUUUCAGUGGACCGGUUCGGCCCAACCGGUCUGACCGGUUCGGACCGAAGCGGUCCGGUUCUGCCCGGUCCAGCUGACCCAAAUCAGUGGGCCGGGUCAGUCGGACCGAGAACCGGUCUGACCGACCUGAAUCCACGUGGAUUCGGUCAACUAGAUCGCACACAACCAUCGAACCGGCCGGUUCGACCGGUUCGAUCCGAACAUUUAAAAACCGACAUUUUAAAAACAAUUUCAGAUCCGAUUUUCCAAUUUUAAACAAUUUUAAAGCUGGAAAAACUCUAAACAAUAUUUCAAAAAUAUUUUAAACUUACGAAAACUCCCAAUUACAUAAUACGACAAUCGCUACUUUAAUAAAUCGAACAUGCAUAAAAUCAUAGCAUAUUAUACAACGCAAUUAAUUACGCAACGAGCUCUGAUACCACUGUUGGGUUUCGGGCACGCGUACGCAGCGGAAAACAAAAAUUUAAUGUGAUUUAAACGACUUUAAAGCACACAAGAACAUGCCCGACAAAUUAAAUCAAUUAAUUGCGUACCUUUGCGCUUCCAGCGAAAUUAAAACAACAACAUGCUUAAUUACUUAAUCGAAAUUAAAUCAAUUAGCAUGCUCGCUUUUAAAUCAAAUAAUCAUGCUCGCAAUAAUAAAACCAAUUUCAUGUAGUCACAUAAAAUCAUACAAGUUUCUUAUUAAAACGAACAUGCAUAUAUUAAUUUAAACGUAGCCGAAUCGAAUGACAAUAGAUUCGAAACAUUACCUCUUGAAGCGUGAGGUAGGCGCACUAAGCAAAGCUAGAUUGCCACGGAAACCAAUCCGUGCAAUCCGGGGCAGCAACUGCGAUGAGAAGAUGGCUAGCUGCUCUUCCCACUCCUAUUGAUCCAACCUGUUUGCUGAUCUGAAAUUACAGCCUUGCUCCGACUUCAGUAUCUCCAUGCGUAUUUACUGGAUGAACAAUUCCUUCAGGAAGAUGGUAGAUUUAUGAGUCGUGAAGCUGCUGUCAAAAUUUCACGUCCAUCGGAUGACCGGUUGAUUUAUGGAGAAUUUUCUCGCUGGGCAGCGCAGAAAAUCCGAGAGCAGUUUUUCGGAAUUGCCUUCUCGCAUCUUCGAUUCUUCGAUCUUCGUCCUCUUGGAUUUCACCUCGUAUACUUCGAUCUACUAAACACGUGGCACUAGACACGUAAUAGUCAGAAUAACGGAAGAAAAGAAAGAAGGAAAGGAAUACCGAAAGAGAUCGGCCAACGGGUGGCCGAUUCCGGCGAAUUUCCGGCGACGGCGCGGUGGUGGUGGCCGUGGGAGAGGGUGGCUGAUCGAGAGAGGCAACGGCUAGGGUUAUGAACGUGUGUUCUCUUAGUUAUGUGUGUGCAAGACCUAUAAAUCAAGUAUUUAUAUGUCUUGCAUAAAACCCUAACGGGCUUAAGUUGGACAGGGCCCAACAACUUAAGUUCGUUAGUUCUUUUACUUGCUCGUCUCUCUCAAUUCAAUGAUCGGAAAAUUGUAACGAUUACAUUUUCGGAAUCAUUAUAAUGUCCUCGUCAUUACGAGUGCCAACUCUCGAUUUCCAACUUUCCAAAAGUGGAAACCCUAAUUCAGUGCACUUUCUAAAUUUGGAAACAUCCCGAUUUAGAAAGUCCACUAAUACAUUUGCCUAUUCUUUUCCUUUUCUUAUUCUCAUUCAUAAUUCCAAAUUACGAAUGUUGGACCCAAUCAUAUUGACUUCCAAUCAUGCAAAGAUAAACCAUUUUAUCUCUGACCGUUUAUUCAAAGAUCUCAUGUGCACGAGCAGUGUGACCCUCGAUGGUUCAGGUGUAAGCUAGCCGUGGGCCCACAACCCUUUGUGGUCAAAACUCGUCCCCUUAGAGUUACGAUUAAGAUGAAACUCGUUUCACCUUAAUCACCCAACGAAUCAAGAUUGGCGUCUAGCAACUAUGCGUCAUGAUUCCCUAGAUACAAAUGAAGUGCCUGCAAGAACCUUCAGAUAUAGUUAACGUACAGUACGGUCCCUUCGAUUCAUAUGUCCCGAUCGAACUAGAGGCAUUGGUUCAUCGAGACCUCUUUAUAUGUUCGAUGACGGUGCGAUCGUUCCAAGUGUUGUAAUCGUCACGUGCAUGACUUAGAGAAUCGAAUUCUCUAAUCAUCACUUAGUCAGCUCUGGCCAGAGACUUAGAAUGAUUACAAACUUUCAGAACACACAGGACAUCCAAGACUAUUCUAGCGAUCGAAUCCCCGACUACAAUGCACAGACCUCCCACUAGAUUUCAGACUGCACGAACACUGGCCCUUGGAAUGGUCCUCGGUGGAACUCAGGGACAGGUCACGAUACAGCUGGUCCUCUAGUGAAGUCACGGUGAUGUCUAGGUCAUAAGGACUAAUGGUGUACAACUAUAUCAUAGACAUCUCUACUCGAUUAUUGGGAACCACUUAGAGAUUUCUAGGGUGAGGGAGUUCAGUGAACUCGUCAACUUACGAGCACCCACUUAUGCAUGCCGAUAUCACAAUACCGUUUACUGAUGAGAUGCAGUACACAUACACUAAGUGCUAGUCUUAAUGGGAAAGGCCGAUAUCCUCAUUAGUGGCGUAACCCUUCGACUAGGAACAUGUUUAACAGUUAUAAUACUUAAGUAAAUAUCUCACGAUCCUAACGAUCAAUUACUAGUACUUGUAAUAACUGUAAGGACUAUAUCUAUGCUUGUGACAAAGGGACAAAGAUAUAGAAUGCCAAGGUGUUUUAUCAUUAAUACGAAUAAAAGUUCGUUUAUUACCAUAAUAAAUACGAAAGACCACAGCCAAAAGUUGGCUUGUUGGUCACCUACUCUAACAGACAUUCCCCUAACACUGCCUCGUUCCAUACUCCUUCCCCCUCGUCCCCUACCAGUUUGAGAAUUAUCUUCUCCUUCCAUAUCUCUAUUUCCCGUGGUGUUACUUUGUGCACUCACUCGAGAUAUUCUGGUUAAUGUCUGUGUUGUAACCUGUGUAAAUCAUUGUAUUUUUUGAUUGAAUUGUAUAAUAAUAACUAAGUAUAUAAGCAUAUUUAAGUCGGUAAGUUACUUGCACUGUUUUGAUUCACUUGAUUAAAUCCUGGAGGAUAAUUGCAUUUUCUCUUAUUAUGUGUGGUUGCUGCACAGUUUGAGCAAGAAAUGUUGCCACCUUUUCUAGUAACUCUCUUUCCAUCUGAUAUUUCAUCAGCACUUUUAUUUCUUGCUUUUUUGGGUCUGCGAGGCUGUCUUCUCACAUUUGGGGGAAUUAUGGGAUCAUUAUCGGCAGGUGGCCAUUGACUUUUGUCUGGUACAAUGUGUAUAGCCAAGUUAUAUGCUUGUUUGUACUUUGACACCAAGAAGUAAUGACUCACAAAGUCUUCGAGAUGUCGAUGCUCUUGCAGAAUAGCCCAUGUAGAAUGUUCACGUGGUAUUUCUGUUAAGUCCCAAACUCUGCAGGUGCAUGUAUGAUGCUCCAAGUCCACUACAUAAGCUUGAGAUCCACUAAAUAUUUUCCAUUUUCGGAGUCGUUCAUCACUAUAAAAUAAAAACGUAAAUUAACUGCUUUAUUUCGCCCAAUUCUCGACGUGUCAACUGUGACUCAGAAAUCGCAUGUAGGAGUAAUGAUUUGCACCACUUCUGCAAAUCCAAAUAAAACUACACCAUUCUUGUAACUGAUUUUCACUGUUGCACCAGUAUUGUAAAUAACCCGUAAUACAUGACUAGGGGUGGUUUACGUAAGGUUACAUGAUAUUAUUGAGUCAGUCUCACUAAUUAAAUGCUUGAUCAUCAUUUGUUUAGCCUGUAAAAUUCCUUCAUUGAAAGCCUAUAAUUAAGCUUUAUUAUUAGUAGUGACUUCGUUUUUUCAGCUAAGUCCAUCAUAAAUUGUGCACUCGAGUUUAUUUGUUUUUUGGCUGCUCCAUCUAUAUUGUGCUUGAACGAGUUAACAUGAGGUGUUAGCCAUAUUAUUUUAUUAAACAAGCAUAUAUUUAUUAGCAACAACUAGGGGUGCAAGUUGGAACGGAAAUUCCAAUUUAUACCGGUUUUCAUUCGAAAACUUCCAAUUUUUAACAACUUUUUUCAUUCGUGACUUUCAAAAUUCUAAUUUCCGAUUUUUUCGAUUUUUUGGAUUGGAAUUGAAAUUAUAUAUAAAAAAAUUUGGAAUUUCCAAUUUUCGAUAUCGGAUCUGAUUUAAUUUCCGAAAUUAAUUCCGAAAAAUUCAGAUUGUUUUCUGAAAAAUACACCUAUAAAUAAUAUAUAUUUUUAAUACUUAUUUUAAGAUAUUUUUUUUGUUUUCUGAAAUAGUAAUUUGAUUUAAGUUUUGUUUUAAGAUUUUGACAUAUUGAAUUGUUGUUAGAAGUUUUACUGGAUAUUAUGAUGUAGUUUAUUUAUUUAUUUAUUAGUUCUAUUUUUUCCAUGACAAUCAAAAAGUUAACGUCAAACUCUCUCACACGUUGGACUAUACCUUCCAAAGCCCCGUUUUCGGUCAAUUUACAAUCAACAAAAGUUAAGGCCAAACUCUCUCACACGUUCCUACAUUUAAUUGUAUGUAGCGUUAUCUCGAGGGAAGAGUAGAUCCGGAAUAAUGAUUUUCAUCAAGGGAGAAUCCGGUGAGUUGUCCAACUAGCAACGUCAUGUACAAAGUAGUAUUCCAAAGAAUACGAAGGUACACAUUAACAAACAUCAUUUAUCGAUAACAUGUUGAUAUUUCUUUGUUAUUUCAACGUGUACAUAGACAUAGUUCAGUUUUAUUUCCAGCGAGUAAUAUAUUUCCAAAUGGAGAGUCAAUUAUUCUUUCUUUUUCCAUGUGCUCACAUUCUUCAUUUGUUGUUUAUAUAUAUUUGUUUUUAUCUACGUAUAGGAAAUGAUGAAAAAUAACAAGUUAUUUAUCCUCUGGUCGUAGAAAUUUCCGUAGUUUUGUGGUUAUGUCCGUAGUUUCGUGGUCUUCUACAACAACAUCCAGAUUAAUAUACAAAACUGGUGCAUUGCUUUGAUUGCAAUCUUGGAGUUAUUUGCUAUAUUUCAACAUGGAUGAUGUUUAGAACACUGUCAGUUUAUUUUUAUGUAAACUUUUUAUUGAUAAAUUAAAAUACAAAUUUAUUAUUUUUUGUUCGAUCGUAUUCGGUUUACAUUCUCGACAUAUAUUCCUUCGUUGGUUUUCUACAUUAACUCAUUUUCAUUUUUUAAGUAAUCCCCGUGGAUUGCAUGGUAAGUUAUUCGUAAAUAAUAAUAAUAAUAAUAAUAAUAAUAAUAAUAAUAAUAAUAAUAAUAAUAAUAAUAAUAAUAAUAAUAAUAAUAAUAAUAAUAAUAAUAAUAAUAAUAAUAAUAAUAAUAAUAAUAAUAAUAAUAAUAAUAAUAAUAAUAAAAAUAAAUUUCCAUUACUUUGUUGUGUCAUUAAGACGAUGUUCUCAUAUGAAAUAUUUGUCUAUGUCUACGUGAUACAUUAAUGGAUCUUCAACUUCAAUAAUCCAAAGCUCGUAGUUACGUUUGUUCUUGAGCUAUCAAAAUAAUUUCAAAUUGUGUGAUAUGUCUCUUAUCAUUGAAUCACAAAGGAAUAGUCUUUUCGAGUACAAUGUAUUACUCGAAUAUCAAGGUUUGAGUUUUAUACCUUGAAUUUAUGUACUCGAUUUAGGCCUCAAGCCUUUAUAAUUGGUACUUAAUCAUGAAACAAAUAGUACCACAUAUAAAUCGGAAUAGUUGUUUAAUAUACUACGCAAAUCUUCGAGUCAGUUCAUUGCACGUGCUCGAUUUGAGCCUCAAGCCUCCAUAAAAAAAUGUUAUAGUACUUACUCGUGAAAUAAUAGUACUGUAAAUGGGAAAUACCCACGAACUCAAAAUUUCAAAUUUGGGUAUUAUCACGUAGACUUGGAGACUAACAUAUUCAAUCGAAACUGUUGAUCUCCUCAUCUAGGCUGCAACCAAGCCUUUUUCGAGGACUUUAUAGGUUCUUGUAGUAAAGAAAUACAGUCAGAAUCGCAUAAUAUUGAACUGUAAUAAUAAUGUUCAAAAUAUGUACAAUCUGAGAUUCUAUUACUUCAAUUCCGAAAUAUAUACUUAAUUAUAUGUAAUAUGAUGGGAAUGUAAUCUUAUACCUUGCGAAUUAUGUCCAUCGCAUAUAAAUGCAAAAAGUCGGCAUAGUCGAAUUUAUCGAUCAAUAUUAUGCAACCAAUCAGUAUAUAUAUAGAAGCAGCAGAAGGACUUCACCAAUUAUCAAAUACGUACAUUAUCAACUCAGCAUGAGAGAAGAUAUGAUCACACAAACAUAAAGGAACAAUUUCAUUUAACACUUAAAAUAGGUUAAUGGUAACAUAUAUAUGUUCAAACAUGCCCUCGUAUAUGGAUGGAAAUAUGCAUAUAAAUACAAGAUAACACCUUUGCCGGAAUCACAAAUCUGUAGGGACAUGUUCAAUUAUAUAUUUGAGAUAAUAUAAUUAUGUGCAUAGCCAGAUAUCAUUAGACAAAAUGAAAAAUUUGGUGACAAAUAAAUAUUUAAAAAUAAACAAGAUCUAAAGAUCACAAUACUCAAAAUGAUCUAAAUUUUUCAUUUUUUCAAGAAAUCAAAACUAAGUGCAAAUUCUGUAGGAAAAAGAAAUGUGAUAGCAAAAUAAUCACCAAUGAGUAAAAUUAUCAAACAAGUCACUGAGAACGACAGGUAAUGAAAAUGAAAUAAAUAGUGCAUAAUGACUAUACCGUCUAAAUGUAUUCUCGAAACUAAUCAACUGAUAUGUUUGAUAGAAAUAAUAUUUUACCUUUCUAUAAUCUAACUUUCUUUCUAUUAAUUAGAAUAGAAAGUAGAGCAAAUUCGUUCUGAUAACGUAUUAUAAAACAAGGGAAAAACAAGAAGAGAGCAAUUGUGUGCAGUGGCGAAUCCAGGAUUUUUGUCAAGAAUGUUCGAAAUUAAAAAUAUUUUUAAAAAUAUAUAAUGGUUGAGUAAAGUUUACGGGGGUUCGGGGGCAGCGCCCCCGAUUUUUUUUUUAAUACUAUAUACAUGAAACAAUAAAAAUAUGCAAUAACUUCAAAUUGAAAAAAGAUUAUUUGCAAAUUUUGGGAUAAUUUAGGAAAUAUUUAAACAUAAAAUUGAUGAAAAUAUUAAAGGAGCAGGAAAUAAAUUAAAGUUGUAAAGCAAAACAAGUAUUUUAUUAACGGAUUUUGAUUUUUUGAAAUAAAAAAAUACCCACAUAGUUGGAAAUUUAGAAAAUAGUUAAGAUGAAGAAUUUUGGAAUAAUUAAGAAAAUGUUUAGAGAGAAAAAUUUGCGAAAAUGAUGAAGGAGGGAUAAAAAGAAUUAAAGUUGCAAAGAGCAAAAUAUAUAUUUCAUUAGAAAAUUUUGAAAAUGUAGAAAACAACUGAAAUAUUUAUAUGUAAUAGGAUAAAAGUCAAUUUCGAAAGUCAAACUCUAGUUAAUACAUAUAUAAAGAGAAAUUAAAAAUUAAAAGGCAUAGGCAGGAUAGUUAAAACUUAAAAAUUAAUCUGAUUAAUACAAUUAAAAAGGCAUAGGGAGGUAGCGCAGGGUGUCGAACUCGGCACCUCUACAAAAUGGGGGAACCACUCCACCAGUUCAACUACAGCAUCACAUUUACCAUUUUUACAUUUAAAGUUAUAUAAUAUUUAAGUAUAUAGGAAUUUUUUUUUUUUUUUAAAUCAAGGGUGUGCAGCUGCACACCCUUGCACCAUACUAGAUACGCCACUG